ensembl:lncRNA
AUGGGCUGCUCAUCGUCCAGCACGCAGACGCUCGCGCAGGAGAACCGACCGGGCGUCAAAGCGGAGGAGGCGCGCGGAGAAACUCUGCUUUCUCAUAAUGGUAUUGUAGCAGAAGACAGCGAGACCGUCUCGGAUCAGAUGCUGGAUGAGAUGGGUGCCGGACCGGAAGAGACGGUGAAGGACGUCCAGCCUGAGGCCUCAGAAGCAGAGCAGCUAAUGGUCAGCGCUAGUGAUGCUCCUCUGGAGGAGAGAGAUCCAGAAGACGUUCCUGAAACAUCAAGUCAUGAAGCUCCAGCUGAAGAGCAGCGAGAUGCUCAUACUGCAUCAGAACCCAGUGACACUACAGCUGCAGAACCCUCUCUAGCUGUGGAACCAGCAUCAGAUCUCAGCAGCACUCCAGCUGAGCUAACUGCAGCUCCAGAAGCACUGUCAGACGUGAGCUCGGAACCCACACUAGAGCAAGCAAACACAUGUCCUGAAGCGACACCAGUGCAACCAACUCCAGCUUCAGAACCAGUUCCAGAGGAAGUUAGCCCUGUUCCUGAACUCACUGUGUCUGAGCCUGUCCCGAGUGCAGAAUCAGCUUCUGCUGAGGAUCCGACUGUGUCUCCGGAACCCACUGCAGUGGAACCAAGCCCAGCUCUAGAGUCAACUCCAGCUCUAGAACCCACAGCCGAGGAACCAAGUCCGGCUCAAGCGACCGAAGAUCCGAAUCCAGCUCCAGAACCAACGGCUGAGGAACUGAGUUCAGCUCCAGAACCCGCAGCUGAGGAACCGAGUCCAGCUCCAGAACCCACGGCUGAGGAACCGAGUCCAGCUCCAGAACCCACGGCUGAGGAACCGAGUCCAGCUCCAGAACCCACGGCUGAGGAACCGAGUCCAGCUCCAGAACCCACGGCUGAGGAACCGAGUCCAGCUCCAGAACCCACGGCUGAGGAACCGAGUCCAGCUCCAGAACCCACGGCUGAGGAACCGAGUCCAGCUCCAGAACCCACGGCUGAGGAACCGAGUCCAGCUCCAGAACCCACGGCUGAAGAACCGAUUCCAGCUCCAGAACCCACGGCUGAGGAACCGAGUCCAGCUCCAGAACCCUUGGCAGCAGCAGUGGUCUCACAGGCUGCAGAGGAGAAUGCGACCUGCGCAGACGCUUCAGAAGGAGCCGUUGAGGAGAUCACAGCAGAUACAGCUGUGGUCGGUGAAGAUGGAGCUGAUCUGAAAUCCACAGAACCUGCAGAAUGAUGUCAAUGUGUUGUUGUGACGCUGGAAGACGUGCCUUUUAUUUCAGAGGAUUUGGGCUUCACAUACGUUUGUACAUAAAUUAGUGUUUCUAAGUAGCAUCAUCAUCAUUAGCAUUGUUAUUAAAAGCCUCUGAGAGCGCAGGGUCCCGAGGGUAACCAGCUGAGCGUGGGACGAAUGUUUGUGCUUCUGGAUAAAAUCACUGCAUCAUGUCCUCAUCUUCAACUGAGUCAAACACAAAAGCAAUAUUAACUCAUCUGAACAAACACGAGCCAAAACUCAAUAACUGUGAGUCAGCCAAAUUAUGUUUAAUAAUGUGUCUUUAAAUGGGUCAAAAGGGCCUUGUCUCUUUAUGUAUUUAGUGUAUUCUUCUCUGCAGAUGCAAAGCAGCUUGACUCUUUACUUGCAUUAAUCAAUGACACAGAAAGGCACACAUAGUAUAUUAAUCAAUAGUAUAUACUGUUGGGUUAUUUUAGUACAGUUUGUGGUGAUUGAUAGUUACACUUAAACUCCAGAGGACUAAUAAACCUCAUCAUAAUAAACCUGGCUUUAACCCAACGAUUCAAAUCGCUUCAAGUCCUGAAGAUAAGCAGUUGCUCAGUAAAACAUAUCAGUGCGUGAAGACAUGAAAGUUGAGCUCUUUAUAUAAAUAAAUCAAGCUUUUAAUGAACUGUGACAUGAUCUCUGCACAUCUCCUAUAUGUGUCUUUUUACAUUUAUAUGUGCACAGAAUAAAUAGUUAUUGUUACUAAUAAAAUAAGUUUGUAGUGAUUUGUCUUUCAUAAAGAUCAGUGUGUAGAUGUGUGGUAUUCUGGAGAACAUUGCAGCAGAUAUCCGUAAAAUCAGUGAGAGCCACAGAAAUCAGAGUCAACUCCAUCAACUGUAACUGCUUGUGUCUCUCUCUCUCUCUCUCUCACACACACACACACACACACACACUAAAGACAGUGUUCUCCAGUUCAUCUGUCCUGCAUGAGAUUGGAUUCAGGGGAAUCUGGAGGAAACACCCGAAUUACAAUGCUGACAAAUCCUAAACACAGUAAAGAAUUAAAAUACUAGGUAAAUAUAGCCACAGAUGCCUGAGCUAUUACAGACAUUCAGUUUUUAUGUGAAACACUAAACAUUUACUCUUCUGCUCAUUAAACUUUAGAAACAUGCUCAGAUGUAGUGUGAUGACAUGCAGACUCAUGCACAUAGUUUAUGGAUUGUUUAUAAGCUGAUGGUUAAAAUUAUAAUAGCCCUCUUGAUUAUUAAAAAAAAUGAAAACAACAAACAUUGUUAUGAAACACUGAUGCUGGAGGUUCAUUCAUUCAUUACAAUUGCUAUAUAUGUCAGAGGUCGCUCUCCUCUGGAGCAACUAGUUAAGUGUCUUGAUCAAGGACACAUUGGUGUGUGUUUCUCAGUGGAUUCGAACCCGGGUCUCUCACACCAAAGGUAGUAUGUAUCUUAUCCACUGC